rnacentral:rRNA from 1 species
AUUGAACGCUGGCGGCAGGCCUAACACAUGCAAGUCGAGCGGAUGAAGGGAGCUUGCUCCUGGAUUCAGCGGCGGACGGGUGAGUAAUGCCUAGGAAUCUGCCUGGUAGUGGGGGAUAACGUCCGGAAACGGGCGCUAAUACCGCAUACGUCCUGAGGGAGAAAGUGGGGGAUCUUCGGACCUCACGCUAUCUGAUGAGCCUAGGUCGGAUUAGCUAGUUGGUGGGGUAAAGGCCUACCAAGGCGACGAUCCGUAACUGGUCUGAGAGGAUGAUCAGUCACACUGGAACUGAGACACGGUCCAGACUCCUACGGGAGGCAGCAGUGGGGAAUAUUGGACAAUGCGCGAAAGCCUGCUCCAGCCAUGCCGCGUGUGUGAAGAAGGUCUUCGGAUUGUAAAGCACUUUCAGUUGGGAGGAAGGGCAGUAAGUUAAUACCUUGCUGUUUUGACGUUACCAACAGAAUAAGCACCGGCUACCUUCGUG